GGAGCAUGCCGGGCAGUCGCUUUUGCUAACGCGAAAGAGGAAAGUCCGAACACCAAAGGGCAGCGAGCCGGAUAACGUCCGGGAGUGCGAGAGAUCGUACGACGACAAGUGCAACAGAGAGUAAACCAGCCUCGCAAGAGGUGAUGGGUGAAAGGGUGAGGUAAGAGCUCACCGGCGUCGGUGGUAACAUCGGCGGCCAGGUAAACUCCUCGUGGUGCAAGAUCAAAUAGGGACGCGUUCAAUGUGGGUGCCCGCCCACGGUCCGACGGGAAACCGCCGGCGAUGCGUCCGGGUAGAUCGCUUGAGCCGUCCGGUAACGGCCGGCCUAGAUGAAUGAUUGCCGUCUGCCCACGGGCAGAUACAAAAUUCGGCUUACAGGCAUGCUCCGAAC
rnacentral:RNase_P_RNA from 1 species